AGAUUUCUUAUUCAUGCCAAGUAAUGCCGGACUAAAGUAGACGUAUCAUGUGAAUGUGCCGUAGAUGAGAACAUUCUUGCCUUCCUGUCAGUGUAUCUUGUUUAAGGUGGAAUGUAAAGGCAAUUAAAGGACAGCAAUAUAGGAUGAAAUGUAUAAAAAGAGAAAAUGGGAAGAACAGAAGAUGGAGCCAAAUGGUUUUUAGUCAUGGCAACUGAGAUAAUUUGUAUCACAAACCUCAAUAUAUUGGAAAUUGUCUUCCUGGCUUCUUUCCCUCCCCCAAAGCAGGCAAAAUUUGACAAGGGCACAUUUGGAAUCUGAAGAUAUGCUGUGGACACUUUCAUGCGCUUGUCACAAUUUCACCAAAUUAACUACUGAACGUAGUUGUGGUUUAGAUAUUUAAUUACAGGUAAUCCUCAACUGAUGCUGACAAUGGAGCCCAAAAUUUCCAUUGCUUAGCAAGACGGUUAUUAAGUGAGUUGUGCCCCGUUUUAUGACUUUUUUGCCACAGUUGUUAAGGGAACUAUGCAAUUAAAUGAAUCUGGCUUCCCCCAUUGACAUUGUUUGUCAGAAGCCAAAUGGGAAGGUUACAAAUGAUCACAUGGCCCUGUGACAGCACAACUGCCAUACUUUCAUGCCAAUUGUCAAGCACCCAAAUUUUAAUCACAUGACAAUGGGGAGGGUGCAAGGGUCGUAAGUGUAAAAACUGAUCAUAAGUCACUUUUUUCAGUGUCAUUAUAACUUUGAACAGUCAUUAAAUUAAUAGUUCUAUGCUGAGGACUACUUUUAAUUUCUAGAUAGCCUGGCUCCAUCCUAUCUCUGGGUAGCAUAAGACCUAGGCCAGGGGUAGGCAACCUUGGCUCUUUUAUGACUCGUGGACUUCAACUCCCAGAAUUCCUGAGCCAGCCAUGCUGAGGGGAAAGACAGAGGUUUCCAAGCUGAGUCAUGCACCCAAAAAAUCGCAACACCACUCAAACAAACAUCCCAUAAAGGAUCCACCAGCCUCUCUAGUCCCAGGCCUGGGGGAAGAACCAGGUUUUCAGGACUUGUUUAAAAACUUAUUUUGGGAUAGGGAUGGAGGCAAGCAUGAACAAGGCACUAGGUGCAGUCACUUACCCUCAUUAGUAACUAAGAGUGCCUUCUGGGUCUCUCUCUCUCUCUGAGGUCCAGAGGCCUUUUUGCAAAUGGAGGUGAUGACAGAGGUUAAUAUUUGUUUUGCAGUUGUCAAUUUCCAAUCAAUUUAAAUAUUCUCCCUAGGUAUACUCAACUACCUCCGAUUAUGGACAUAGUUAUGUCCACACAUGAGUCAGGUGGGGCAGGGAGUCUCCUUGUGGAAGUAUCUUUAGGCAACCUAUUUACUGGUGCCAAUUUGCCUCUUUCUCCGAUGUAUUAUGUGAUUACUUUAAAACAGAGAAAACACUCCUCGCUUCGGCUGCAAAACUUUAAAGGCAGGGUCUUCGUCUGACACGGGGAGCAAGAUUAUUAGUCAUCUGCGCAUGAACCAAACGCAUUCCUGAAGUCAUUCUAAGGAAUAUUUAUACUCGUGGUGUUUAAGCCCACAUCACCCAGCUUCCUGUCUCCCCUUAAAGCAGCCUCUAAUGCCCCAGAGGAGCAACUAAACCUUCCUGUAAUUCUUCUCUUUGUUCUCUGUACACCCCCUUAGCUAUUCAGAGUUGAAUGCCUGCUGCCAGCCCACCCUGCCUUCAGAUGGCAUGCUAUGACUCAGCAGCAGGAAACUGGAACGAAGUCAGCUUUCUACCCACCAAAGGCAAAAUGUCAUUGUCCCAGAGAAGCACGUCUCUUCUCUCCCACCUUCCAUGUCCUUUUUUCCCUCACCGCCAUAUGUUCUAUCAUUGGAAGGCUUCACAUAGGCCUGAAGGAAGAUGUUCUGGUUUUUCAAGUAAAGGAAUAGCUAUUCUUGCCCAAACUCAAUCCACCUUUUGUAGACACAAUGUGAUUGACUGUAUUGAACAUCUGCAGGAUUUAGGCACAAAGCAAUCUAUCUGGUGGGUCAUCUCUGCUGGUAUCAUGCUACCCAUUCAUCUUUGAUAGCACUCCUUGGUCCAGGAAGAAGCCUGGACAUUUGGCACAACAUUCACCUCUCCUUCCUCAUUUUACAAGCUACAUCCAUGUAGAAAAUGCUCCUGCCAAAUGAAACAAGGCAUGAGAAAGAUGACGUUAAGGAUCUGAAAAUAUUAGCAGUUGGUGGUGUUUUCUUUCUUUCUUUCUUUCUUUCUUUCUUUCUUUCUUUCUUUCUUUCUUUCUUUCUUUCUCUCUCUCUCCCUCUCUCUCUCUCUCUCUCUUUCUCUUUUAUUAGUUUUAUUCAGGUAGCAUUUUCUCUCUUGCUGCCCAGAUGAAUACAGUAUUUUCUUUCCUAACCAAGACACGUAAUAUUGAGGGAAAUGGAUAUUGUGUCUCAAUAAAACAAAAAAACCAACCCAAAACAAAACAAAGGCACUUCAGGAUGUUCCAUCUAUAACAGAUCAAUAUAUCUAAAACUAAAUGGGAAUUCCCCAUCCACCCAUCCAAGUCACAGCCCCAAUCAAUUUGUCUAUUAAAAUUAGUACUUUUAAUCGUCCUCAGUACGUUAUUUCUAAACAUUUCUAGCAACGAGUGAAAGCUCCUCACAGGGAGAUCCAACUUGGAACUAAGAAGGAAUUUCCUGACAGUGAGAGAAAUUAAUCUAUGGACAGCUUGCCUCCCAGAGUUGUAGGUGCUCCAUUGCUGGAAGUCUUUAAGAAAAGACUGGACAGCCAUUGGACAAUUCAGGAUGGCAUAAGGAUUCCUGCCGUGGACAAGGUGUUGGACAAGAAGACUUCCAAGAUCCCUUCCAGCCCUACAAUUCUAUGACUUCUGGCUUAGAAGUCCUCCACUUCUUCCGCGGUCCCCUGAUAAAGCCCUGGUCCUUUCUUGGGGAACAAUCUGGGUCAUGAGGCUGUUUACACAACCCUCACCAGACAGCAGCCAUUUCAUCACAUUAGAUGAGGCAAAUAAGAUGGGAAGCAAGGCCCUCCCUCAGCCUCCAGAAGGACCAUCCUCUUCCAGAAUUAUAUCAAACAUUCUAGGCCACAAGUGAAGUACUCUUUUUUAACAUUACAAUUAUAUAUCUGGACUUGUUAUUUUUCCUCUUUUCUCCCUUCACUUUUCUCUUUUAUGUUUUUAAGCCUGGAGAGAGGCUCCUUUUCCAAAUUGGGUAUGCAGAAUUAUAACCAUAAUGGAAUCUGCUCAUCAUAGUCAUUAAAUGGUUGCAAUCAUUAAGGGAGACACUCACAUGAGUGCCUCGCUCAAUGACCGCUGUCCCAGCUCUCCCAUGUUUGGCCACUAAGCGAAUACACAGAUUGUUAAACGAACGGAGUAAAGGAACUGCCGACCAAAAGAAAACAGGCAGUUCCGUUCAGUGCACAGAACCAACAUGGUGGAUCACAGCUUCCUUUUUUCAAGCAUGGGCUCCCUUCCCACCAUGCGCUAGAAAAUUAGUCUUUCUCUCUAGCUGCCCUGCCUUCCCUGGGCUGGAGAGAAAUACUUUUCUCUACCUAGCAUGGGGCAGGGUGGGGAGAUGGCACAUUGCACAGAGAAACAAGCUGGCUUGCGAUCUUCCCUGUUGACUUUCUGAGCAAACCAUCAGGGAAGAUUGCAAAUCACAUGAUCAUGGAGGGUUUGGCAACCUAUCGUAAGUGUGAGCAGGUUGCCAAGAGCCCAGAUCACAAUCACAUGGCUGCAGGAACACUGCGAUGGCCAUAACUUUGAGCACUAGCUGCAUAUCCCUUCUUUCAGCAUCAUACAUUUGAACAGGUCAUAAGUCGAGGACUCAAAUAAAAUUACCACAAUAAACAAAGCCAAUACUGUUGUAAUUGCAUGCAUGCAUAUCUAUGGAGUGGACCUCCAACCACAGCUUGACCUACAAAUAACUUGACUAAAGAUAACGGGAAACCCUGACCCUUCCCCACUCAACAUAAAAGGAUGGACUAUAAUCAAAGAAUCUCAGGCAUUAGACCUGCUGGGAAAAAGCCAGCUUCCUUUGCCAAUAGAUUCUUCUCUUUCUCUGCAUAAUGGCACCCUCAACAUCAGUACUCUUCCUACCCAUCAAUGGAUAAUCUGCCUUUGGUUCCGAGAAUUACGGUAGCACUUAUUUUUUGCAAUUUAUUUUGGCCUUGUAGGCACUUCAUACAAUGCCUUUGAAGUGGGAGAGAAAGAUUUUUUUUUUCAAUAGGGCUCAUACUACUCUACUGAAGUACAAAGUAGAAAACCACAUUUUCUCUUAGCAGGUUGUGCAAAUGUGUUCAUGUACAGUUCAACGUGUCAGAUGAAUCAGCAAAAAUGGGGUAAAAAAAAA